rnacentral:sRNA from 1 species
UAAUCUUCUUUGAACUAGGGUGCGCUAUUCUAGUGCGUAAAAUGACUGUCGAAGGCGGGCCUAAGAAUCCGCUAAGGGCAUACCGAUGAAGUUCCUGGUGGUGGCUUUCGACGCCCAGUCGAGGGUUGCUGCUGGGAGUUAAGGAUGAGGGGGAUCUGCAAUGGCAUGCGGGCGAUACCCUCUUCCGUGGAGGCCUAAGUUCGUGGCUGCUUUUGGUUACGGCUUGGGGUAUGAACCUGCAUUAGGAAGGAACUUAGUGCAGUGUAGCCUGCCUUGAGGUGGAGAAGUUGGGAGGGCUGAAGGAACUUUAAGUUCAUUGGCCGAUGAGCUUAAGUUUGCCUGAAAUUCUUUUCUGCAAAAGAGGCUAGACCGUCACGGAGCGUGAAGGAAAACUUCUAGAGCGAAAACCAACGAGGAUUAAAGUGCGUUCUUAGUGGCGAUCAAGUGCUGGAAAUGGUGACAUUCUGGGCUGAGGGAAAAGGGAAACCGCCUGUCAGGAAACUGCAGGAGCUCAGUGGGAAAACCUACUUGACCUAUGGCGCAAUAUUUAUUCGUUGGUGUCCUAAGGUUCAAAGAGCAGCA